rnacentral:rRNA from 1 species
UACGUAGGGUGCGAGCGUUACUCGGAAUUACUGGGCGUAAAGCGUGCGCAGGCGGUUCGUUGUGUCGGCGGUGAAAGCCCCGGGCUCAACCUGGGAAUGGCCGUUGAAACUGGCGAACUGGAGUGUGGCAGAGGGGGGUGGAAUUCCGCGUGUAGCAGUGAAAUGCGUAGAGAUGCGGAGGAACACCGAUGGCGAAGGCAGCCCCCUGGGCUGACACUGACGCUCAGGCACGAAAGCGUGGGGAGCAAACAGG